ACGGGUGCGUAACGCGUAUACAAUCUACCUAUAACAGGGGGAUAACACUGAGAAAUUGGUACUAAUACCCCAUAACACUAAUUGAGGCAUCUUUAUUAGUUGAAAGUUCCGGCGGUUAUAGAUGAGUAUGCGUUGUAUUAGAUAGUUGGAGAGGUAACGGCUCACCAAGUCGACGAUACAUAGGGGGACUGAGAGGUUAACCCCCCACACUGGUACUGAGACACGGACCAGACUCCUACGGGAGGCAGCAGUGAGGAAUAUUGGUCAAUGGACGCAAGUCUGAACCAGCCAUGCCGCGUGCAGGAUGACGGCUCUAUGAGUUGUAAACUGCUUUUGUAUGAGGGUAAAUGUCGGUACGUGUACCGAUUUGAAAGUAUCAUACGAAUAAGGAUCGGCUAACUCCGUGCCAGCAGCCGCGGUAAUACGGAGGAUCCAAGCGUUAUCCGGAUUUAUUGGGUUUAAAGGGUGCGUAGGCGGUUUGAUAAGUUAGAGGUGAAAUGUCGGGGCUCAACCCCGAAACUGCCUCUAAUACUGUUAGACUAGAUAGUAGUUGCUGUGGGCGGAAUGUAUGGUGUAGCGGUGAAAUGCUUAGAUAUCAUACAGAACACCGAUUGCGAAGGCAGCUCACAAAACUAUAUAUGACGUUGAGGCACGAAAGCGUGGGGAGCAAACAGGAUUAGAUACCCUGGUAGUCCACGCA
rnacentral:rRNA from 1 species